UGGGGAAUAUUGGACAAUGGGCGAAAGCCUGAUCCAGCCAUGCCGCGUGUGUGAAGAAUGUCUUCGGAUUGUAAAGCACUUUAAGUUGGGAGGAAGGGCAGUAAGCGAAUACCUUGCUGUUUUGACGUUACCGACAGAAUAAGCACCGGCUAACUCUGUGCCAGCAGCCGCGGUAAUACAGAGGGUGCAAGCGUUAAUCGGAAUUACUGGGCGUAAAGCGCGCGUAGGUGGUUCGUUAAGUUGAAUGUGAAAGCCCCGGGCUCAACCUGGGAACUGCAUCCAAAACUGGCGAGCUAGAGUAGGGCAGAGGGUGGUGGAAUUUCCUGUGUAGCGGUGAAAUGCGUAGAUAUAGGAAGGAACACCAGUGGCGAAGGAGACCACCUGGGCUCAUACUGACACUGAGGUGCGAAAGCGUGGGGAGCAAACAGG
rnacentral:rRNA from 1 species